ACCAAUUUCCCACUAGAAAAGUGGGAACAUUACACGAUUUGAAAUUGACGGACGUUCCAGAAUAGAGAGAACGGGUGCAUUGCCUUCCUUAGCAAAUUAUUUAUUCCAUUACAGGUUAUUUAGUAGUUAUUUUACAUUAAAAUGGCUACAAAUUUGAUCAGCAUACUGUUGUAGUUAUGGUAAGUUUCGUUUUGAGGAAUUUGAUAACCAGCUAGCAAGGAUAUAACGAUAAGCUCAGUGGCAAGGACGCUUGAAACUAGUUGGGUGCUUUGUGUGCAAUUGCGACAGUGGUUGAAUCGUUUUUGGCAAAUCUAUGUUAAAAAAAACGUCUGGUUGCUAGGUAGACAGAACGCAAAACAGUACUACGAAGGGAUAUGAUGAGAAGAAAGGAAGUAAAGUAGCUAGCUAGCUCGCCAGUCAGGGAAGCAUGAGAAGGAAGCGAGAUGGUGAAAUUCUUUGCUAGGUUGUAUGAUGGAAGGACUGGGAAAGGAGAGAUCCAUAUGCAGUUCUAGGCCCUUCCCAUGGCUCAGUCAUCCCGAGAAAGAGGCCUCGUCCCGGCUCUGGAAACUCACAGACUGCUUCUCCACCUCCGAGCAGCAAAACACCCCAAGUUACAACACAGACAAACAAGUGUCUCCGGAAGGUGGUGAUUGACUCCGCUGUCCUGGCGUCGUGAGGGAGCUUGUUCCACCAUUGGGGUGCCAGAGCAGCGAACAGUUUUGACUGGGCUGAGCGGGAACUGUGCUUCCUCAGAGAACGAUUACAUGGACAACAGAAAGCCAGUAUUGGAGCUGAAAGAUCUGCCUCCUCCACCGCAUCAUACCGCUGC